UGGAUCUUGUAGAAGAGGCUAUUGGCAGAGCAGGGUAUAACGAGAGAAUCAAGAUAGCAAUAGAUGUUGCUGCUACUAAUUUCUGCAUGGGUACCAAAUAUGAUCUUGACUUCAAAGCUCCAAACAAGUCGGUUCAAAAUUUCAAGUCAGGAAAGGAUAUGAUAGAUAUGUACAAAGAACUAGGCCGGAAAAUGAUUCUGAAUCAAUCCGAA
rnacentral:misc_RNA from 1 species